rnacentral:tRNA from 1 species
GAGGGUAUAGCUCAAGUGGUAGAGUGCAUGCUUAGCAUGCAUGAGGUCCUGGGUUCAAUUCCCAAUACAUCCU